rnacentral:rRNA from 1 species
UACGUAGGGUGCGAGCGUUAAUCGGAAUUACUGGGCGUAAAGCGUGCGCAGGCGGUUUUGUAAGCCAGAUGUGAAAUCCCCGGGCUUAACCUGGGAAUGGCAUUUGGGACUGCAAGGCUGGAGUGCGGCAGAGGAGACUGGAAUUCCCGGUGUAGCAGUGAAAUGCGUAGAUAUCGGGAGGAAUACCGAUGGCGAAGGCAGGUCUCUGGGCUGACACUGACGCUGAUGCGCGAAAGCCAGGGGAGCGAACGGG